ACGAACGCUGGCGGCGUGCCUAAUACAUGCAAGUAGCACGCUGAAGGAGGAGCUUGCUUCUCUGGAUGAGUUGCGAACGGGUGAGUAACGCGUAGGUAACCUGCCUGGUAGCGGGGGAUAACUAUUGGAAACGAUAGCUAAUACCGCAUAAUAGCAGUUGUUGCAUGACAACUGUUUGAAAGGUGCAAUUGCACCACUACCAGAUGGACCUGCGUUGUAUUAGCUAGUUGGUGGGGUAACGGCUCACCAAGGCGACGAUACAUAGCCGACCUGAGAGGGUGAUCGGCCACACUGGGACUGAGACACGGCCCAGACUCCUACGGGAGGCAGCAGUAGGGAAUCUUCGGCAAUGGACGGAAGUCUGACCGAGCAACGCCGCGUGAGUGCAGAAGGUUUUCGGAUCGUAAAGCUCUGUUGUAAGAGAAGAACGAGUGUGAGAGUGGAAAGUUCACACUGUGACGGUAUCUUACCAGAAAGGGACGGCUAACUACGUG
rnacentral:rRNA from 1 species